GUCAGGAUGGCUGAGUGGCCUAAGGCACUACACUUAAGUUCUGGUCUCCAAAUGGAGGCGUGGGUUCACAUCCCACUUCUGUCA